rnacentral:tRNA from 1 species
GAGCGAGUUGAGGCGGUCGUGACUUUUAAUCAAGGGGCGUGGGUUCGCGUCCCACCGCGCUCACCA